UACGUAGGGGGCUAGCGUUGUCCGGAAUCAUUGGGCGUAAAGCGCGUGUAGGCGGCCCGGUAAGUCCGCUGUGAAAGUCGGGGGCUCAACCCUCGGAUGCCGGUGGAUACUGUCGGGCUAGAGUGCGGAAGAGGCGAGUGGAAUUCCUGGUGUAGCGGUGAAAUGCGCAGAUAUCAGGAGGAACACCAAUUGCGAAGGCAGCUCGCUGGGACGUGACUGACGCUGAGACGCGAAAGCGAGGGGAGCAAACAGG
rnacentral:rRNA from 1 species